UAGGGUUUGGUAACAUAUGGUUUAGGGUUUAGAGAUAGAUUCUGAAAUCUUACCUUCAUUUUUUUUUGUUUUCAAAUUGACUCAUAUAUGUUUAGUAACUAUCUAAUAACUUGAUUUAAACACUUUCUAAGUUUCUUUUAAGUUUAAGAAAGUGUUUUUUGCAUAGGUAAUUACACUACAAGAAAAUAAGCUUAUUGCCACAAUUUUGACACAACCAUUUUGUGGAAAAUAAAAUAUUGCCACAUAUUUGCCAUUACAUUGCCACAAACUCAUGUUUUUCAAAAUUAGUUACAAAGUUGUAACAAUUUGUGGCAAAAUUUGACACGGAUUUUAUUUUCUGGCAAUAUGUGGUAAUAAUUGCCACAAAUUUUCAAAGAUAUAACAAUUAGUGGCAAAAUUUGCCAUAUAUAAAUUUGUGGUACAAUUUUGUGACAAAUUUGUAAGGAACUUGCAAAACUAAUCAUCCAACCUUUUGUCGCAUUUAUUUUAAACUACAAUUAUCACAAAUUUUUUACAUGGUUUUUGUGGCUAUGCUAAACUCUAAACACUAAAUACAAAAAUUAGAUACUAUAAUAUAACUAAACUAAUUUAGAUUUAGUAUUUUUAAGAAAUUAUAAUUUUAUAAAUCUGUCUGUUAAAAUAUUAAUGUCAAACCUUAAAUCUAAAACUCAAAACUCAUUUCCAUAACUCCAAACCCUAAAUCAUGAACCCUAUCUCCCUAAAAACUGUUAAAAUGUAACUACUAUAAUUAAACUAUAAAUCAUAAAUCAAAUAUAAUCAUUACUUAUAUAUAUGUAAAUACUUAAAAUCAUUCGCAUACUUUAUAUAAAAUCAAAAUUGUAGGUCAAAUCAUUAAGAAACUUAUAAGUUAAACACAAUAAAUAUAGAUUACACAACUUUUUAAGAAACUGUAGUAAUAAAUGGCUGCAAAGUGAAAAAGUAACGAAGAAGUACUGAAAAUAAAAUGAAGAUGUAAAGAAAUGUUGUCAUUGGCUAAUCCUAAAAGACAUGGAUAGCUACUUGUCACCGUUGAUAACUUCAAUCCAACGGUUCAGAUCCGUUCCUUCUUUUUCUCCUCACCACACCCUGUGUUUCUUUUAGGCUCUCUCUUAUCUCUUCCCUAAAUCUAUAGGGUCGAUUUCUCUUUAUUCUCCAUCUUCUGCGUUUGUGUCUAUUUUUUUUUUGCUUAAGCUUUGAAAACUAAACGCGUUUGCAUUUUUCCUCUGCUACCUUCUCUCUCCGGCGUUUCUUUAGCUGUCGACCCUUUCUUCUCAUUCGACUUCAAAGUCUCGGCGUUCCUCAACAGGUGAAGCCGUUAAUGAGCAGUUUCCAGAUCCAAUCCUCAAUGCUACGACCAACUACAAUGUUGUUGUUAAAGUUUCCAAUCAUUUGGAUGAGCCUCUUCUCUUGACUUGUAUGUGCGGUGGGGGAAAUGAUGAAUGUGGUGGAGAUCCCAAAAAAUGCCGGUGCCAGAGACAGUGACAGAGCCGGAAACAGUGCCAGAGCCUGAGCCAGCAACGGUCGCUCUGCGUAGGGCGAUUGUGUAUAAUAUAUGUAUUCAAUUAUUUUUUAAUUAAUUAGUAAAAACAUUUUUUUGGAUUUUUUUUGUGCUAGCCAUGCUUUUGCCACAACUAAAAUCGUUACUAUUUUAUCACGAAUUAAUUUAUGUCAAAAUGUGAUAGUUACCACGAAAUAUGUGUGUGGCAUUUUGUGGCAAAGCUGUCACAAAUUUGCCACUAAUACUGAUUUGCUACGAGUGUAUAGCCAGGAUUUUUAUUUUGUGGCAAACUGUUGUAAACAUCUAUAUUGCCACGGAUUUUAGUCUUUUACCAGAAACCUAAUUGUGGCAAUACGGAUAUUUUCUUGUAGUGAUUGAUUUUAGGGUCUAGAAGACUCACAAAAGAUAUAAAAAGAAUUCUUUCGACACAUCCCACCUAAAUUUUAGUAGAACUUACGGUUCCCGCUUAAAUUUUGGAAAUUUUUUGGUUUUCCGCCUAAAUCAAAAGUCUUCCAUAAGUCAUCCAGGAGUCUUCCAGAGGAAGUUUUCUCAUAGAUUAGAUCUUAAAAAUAAUUAAUAAAUUUUAAAAAAAAAUAUUUUCAAAGGAAAAAAGUCAAAAUCAUGUAUUAAUAAACAUUUCUAAAAGAUGAAAAUUUAGUUUUACUGAAAUUGAAUUAUUUUUAACAUAGAUGAGAGAAUGUAGAUUGAGUCAUGAUAGUCUUUGUUUUAGGGUAUGGUAACAUAUGUUGUAGUAUUGUUAGUAUUUUUAGGGUUAGAUUUUGAAAUCUCAUCUUUUUUUUUUA